rnacentral:rRNA from 1 species
AUUGAACGCUGGCGGCAGGCCUAACACAUGCAAGUCGAGCGAGCGGCGGACGGGUGAGUAAUGUCUGGGAAACUGCCUGAUGGAGGGGGAUAACUACUGGAAACGGUAGCUAAUACCGCAUACCAUCAGAUGUGCCCAGAUGGGAUUAGCUAGUAGGUGUGGUAACGGAUCACCUAGGCGACGAGCCCUAGCUGGUCUGAGAGGAUGACCAGCCACACUGGAACUGAGGCACUGUCCAGACGCCUCCGGGAGGCAGCAGUGGGGAAUAUUGCGCAAUGGGCACAAUCCUGAGGCGGCCAUGCCACGUGUGUGAAGAAGGCCUUGGGGUUGUAAAGCACUUUCAGCGGGGAGGCGUUACCCGCAGAAGAAGCACCGGCUAACUCCGUGCCAGCAGCCGCGGUAAUAC